rnacentral:rRNA from 1 species
AUACGGAGGAUGCGAGCGUUAUCCGGAUUUAUUGGGUUUAAAGGGUGCGUAGGCUGUGCGUUAAGUCAGGGGUGAAAUGCCGUCGCUCAACGACGGAGCUGCCCUUGAUACUGGCGUGCUGGAGUACGGAUGCCGUUGGAGGAAUGAGUGGUGUAGCGGUGAAAUGCUUAGAUAUCACUCAGAACACCGAUUGCGAAGGCAUCUGGCGAAUCCGUCACUGACGCUGAGGCACGAAAGCGUGGGGAUAGAACAGGAUUAGAUACCCUGGUAUUCCACGCCGUAAACGAUGAUGACUAACCGUCGGCGAUAGACAGCCGGUGGCCAAGCGAAAGCGAUAAGUCAUCCACCUGGGGAGUACGUCGGCAACGAUGAAACUCAAAUGAAUUGACGGGG